rnacentral:rRNA from 1 species
UACGUAGGGGGCAAGCGUUGUCCGGAUUUAUUGGGCGUAAAGCGCUCGCAGGUGGUUCGUCGCGUCGUGCGUGAAAGACCCCGGCUCAACUGGGGGAGGUCGUGCGAUACGGGCGAACUGGAGGCCAGUAGGGGGAUGCGGAAUUCCGGGUGUAGUGGUGGAAUGCGUAGAGAUCCGGAAGAACACCGGUGGCGAAGGCGGCCUGCUGGGCAGUUUAGCUGACACUGAGGCGCGACAGCGUGGGGAGCAAACAGG